rnacentral:lncRNA from 10 species
GUAAACUUUUCAUAGUUGAAUAAAAACCAAGAACAGAUUAGUAAGUACUAAAAUAGUAUGGGCCCUUAUCAUUGUAUCUUUUCCAAAUAAAGUUAUCCCAGUAUAUAAUCUUUACAGGCAAGCCCUAUUUGGCAAAGAAACUAUGUCCAAAUGUUUGUGUUUCAAACAUAGAGUAAUUAUAAACAGUGUAGCAACUUCUCAUGAUUGGCAAAGAAGAACACAUAUUGGGGUUUUUAACAUUCCACGUAGUUUUAUUAACAUUUAUCUUCAGUUAGGCAUUGAGUACAUGUGAAGACAAUAUUGGAAUUGAGAUAAAAUAUAUACACUUAAUGUUUUCUGUAAGGAUAAGACAAAGAUAACAUCUUAUUUGAUAGUUUGAACUGGUUGGAAUUUGACCAAUUAGAAUGAAUAGCUUUGCCUGAAAAUCUUUAUCUUGAUGGUCAGAAUUUAGAUGGGUAAGCUGCCUGAUUAAUUCCAGAUUUCAAAUAUUUUCAUUCCAAAUUUUCUUCCUGGCAGGAUAAUUACCAGGAAUAAUAUAGAUGAGUACAAAUGUUUUUGGAAAAAUUUAUGUUGUUUAGGGUUAAAAAUAAGUUCACGAUAUUUAAACUUGGUCAACUUAAAUGAUAUUUAAAGUACUUGGUAAACUUUGUCAUCUUCUAGUUUCUAAACAUUUUUUGGAAAUAAUCCUUGCAAGGUUUUGUAAUACUCAGUGUUCUCUGGAAGAUGAAUUCCAGUUGGCUGUAUUUCAUAGCACCUGCAGCUUUCGGAAAUAACUAAGAUUUUCAGUUGACAUGUCCUAGAUAUUAAUUUAUGUUGUAAGUUAAAAUGAUUAAAUUUGUGUGCUUGUGAGGCAAGGUGCUUUUGUUAAGAAGAACAUUUAAUGAAGAACAAAUAAAGUCAAACAGUGAUUUAAAUCUCUAUUUAAGAGAGAAAAAUAUAUAAAAGUAAUGCUUGGAAUUUGACCUCAGCUGUUAAGGAGAAAAAUGAAUUACAAGAAAAUGUAGAAGCAUGUAUCUUAGCUUAUUUCAGUGUGGUUGUUUUAUAACCUUAAAAAAAAUACCAUUUAAAGUAUUGCAUGUGUAACAAAGUGUUAUUUUGUUAAAUUAUUCUUAUGCAAAUAAGGUUUGCAACAUAUACUAAAGUCUCAUUAUUUGUGUGUUGUCUUUCUGAGAGUUAGAAUAAACAGUGAAAGAUUAAACAUAGGAUUCAAGUUGCCUGUGGUUUGAUCCCAAAUUUUAAAUGUUCAUUGAGAAGAAGAGUUCUCUGAGGUCAGACACAGGAAUGAUACAGAUUUAAUUAUGGUUUUGAGUCACAGCCCCUAAAACAAGAAUGGUCCAGCAAUGAGCAGGAUAAUAAAUCAAUAAAAGAUUGGAUGACAGCGUCACAAACCAAUAUUUUGCAUGUGACCACAUACCUAGAUCACUACUAAAUUUAGUUAUUAUUUGGAAAUUCAAGGAUAUCCAGGGUUGGCCUGGGGAUUUAAAAUGCAUGUUCCUCAUUGAGGGUUUGGAAUGGGUUAAGGAUCUUUUAAAAGUAUUUGGGGGUUUUGUCAAGUCCUGAGUUUUCCUGAGUUUAAAUGCUUUUAGGAAAUAGCAAUUGGCUCACUACAGAUGGUUUUAGGAAAAAAACAAAAGACAAAAACAACAACAGCAAAAAGCUUUUAAAUAUGUAGAUCUUAGACACUAGACCUGCCUUAGACUAGAGGAAAAGAUGGCUAAAAGUGAUAAAUUUAGGUGACAAAUUUUCAGCUUUAUUGCCUUGUCCAUUUACUGCAAACCUGGAAAGAUAUAAAAGAAAUUUGCUGAAAGGAUGGGUAGAAGCACAGAAGCUGUUAAGGAGCAAUUGUGUCCUUAGAAAAAGGAGCAUUAGUUUCCAGAAUAUUUGUGGGAUAAGAGAAACUGAGGAAACACUGAGGGAUAUUUGAGAGGGACUGAUGGAAAUACGCUCUUCCAGGGAGGCAGGCACUGUUUUUUAUUGGUCAACAGUCUAUUUCCUGAGCAUAAUUGAGUACUUGCACUCAGAUGGUACUUAGCAAAAAUUUGUUUAAAAAAAAGAAAUUUAAUCCCUCUCUCCUCAAUCCUUCUCUUGCACUUUGCAGCUAACUUCAACUAUAGUACAUGUUAUAGUAUGUUGAAUUUUUUUUUUUUUUGAAAUGGAGUUUUGCUCUUGUUGCCCAGGCUGGUGUGCAAUGGUGUGAUCUCAGCUCACUGCAACCUCUGCCCUCUGGGUUCAAGUGAUUCUCCUGCCUCAGCCUCCCAAGUAGCUGGGAUUCCAGGCGCACGCCAACAUGUCUGGCUAAUUUUUGUAUUUUUAGUAGAGACGGGGUUUCGCCACAAUGGCCGGGCUGGUCUCAAACUCCUGACCUCAGGUGAUCCACCUGACUCGGCCUCCCAAAGUGCUAGGAUUAUAGGCAUGAGCCACCGUGCCCAGCCCAAUAUGUUGAAUUUUCAUGUAGCAUGCUGUAUGUUGAGAGAGAACAGACUUUGGAGUUGGAGAGAUAUGGCUUCCAAUCAAAUUCUAUUCACUAAUAUCUUGAUAAUUUAGGAAAUUUGCUUAACUCCAUUGAGCUUCAGUUACCUCAUCUGUGAAUUAGGAAUAAUACCAAAAUCAUAUACAAAAAGUUUAGCACAGUGCUUAAAAUAAAGAGGAAUGUGUAUAUUGAAUAACAUGAAUGAUACAUUUGUAAUAGAGAAUGUAGAAUAGAAUGGAACAGAACAGAAUAGAAUAGAAUAGAAUAGAAUAGAAUAGAAUAGAAUAGAAUAGAAUAGAAUAGAAUAGGUUACAAAUCUAAAGUAAUAUAUCCGCUGAAAAACUUACCUGAAUAAACUGGUUGCCUUAGAAAUGCAUCAAAUGGCAAGUUCACUCAUGAUUGAUGCCAAAAUAGGUAGGUGCUAUAAUUCACAAUUAAUGAGUAGAGGAAACUAUUAUAGCCCCUGACAAUGAUAAAUAUUUAGGAGUUAUUUGGGCUAAUAAUUUUGAGGUAGGACAAAUUCCCUUUCCAGCAACGCUGAACAAAGUAGAUUCUCUUUGUCAUUGGUUGAUGCUUAGUAAUCCACUCCCGGAGCAAUGCCAGAGGCCUAGACCUGGAAACUAGAUUGCACCAACACCAAAGCAGAAUUUCUGUCCUACAGGUUCUCCAUAGACAGGGAGAGAAGGAAAACUAGCAGGAGAAAUUUUGGAGUCCAGUAGGUCACUGCAGAAACCUGAAUCAGAAGAGUGACAAAUUGAGAGAGGCUCAGAAAACAGUAUUCAAAUCUAGCAGUCAUCAUAAGACCAACAGAUAGAAAGCUGGAGCAAGGAUAAGGAAUGGGUUUUGGGUGAGAGGGGAAGACGAGAAUGGCAGGUAGACCAAGGUUGUUGAUAAAGUUCAUGCUUGGCUUGUGUUGGGCUCAGGAACAAAAAUGAGAAUAAGUUUGUAAAUGACAUGAAAAAGAAUUGGAAAUACUGUGUAAUUAAAGUUGCAGGGAAAUCAGAAAAAAAAUGUAUUUCUAAACACAUAUAGAAUGCCUUGUAAUUUAGGUUCAUAUUCUCAACACAUUUGGCAGAGUUUCCUGAAGAAAGACAAAUCUUAAAAAGAUAUACAAAAUCAGGGAAGAAAAUUUAUUGUUCAAAGAGACAUUUUAAAAUAUGACUGGCCUUAAAAUGUGAAAGGCACAUUGAACUGAAUUUGACCUUGGCAAUUUGUAAUAAAAGAUGAAUACUUUUGCAAAGAUGGAAUUUUUGUUUAUCUAAAUUAAAUGAUAAACAUUAUUCUUCUUGAAGUCUGCCUUAUCCUAGAUCUUCAAUUUUCUUCAAUGAAGGAUGUCUUCAGAUAUUUUUAUCCAAAGCUUUUUCUUCAUUAUUUUGAAUAUUCAUUUUAAUCUUCAUUCACUAAGGAAAAUUAAUGGAAUGGGAUGGAUUCACUCAUAGUUAGAUAUGUAUAUAUGCAAUCUUUCCUCAUUAUAAUUUUUACAACGUGGAUAUGUUUACUUUAUAACUCACAGAGUAUAUCAUUUUUAUUUUCUUGCUAUAUCUGUUUUAUUUUUGAUUAUAAAAAAUGUCUCAAAGGAUAAAAUUAAAUAUGUGUUUGUGUAUAAAAAGCAAUUCUAUGCAAUGAUUAGCCUCCCCAUUACCCAGAAACAUUUUUUAUGCUGACAAUUGAUGAAUCUCAUGUUAUGGCUCAUUAGUAAACUUAGGUUCAGUUCCAAGUUUUUAGACAUACUCCCAAAAGUCAUUCAGUAUAAACAUAUAUGUACUUUACAGCAUUUGUUGUGGUAGGUCAGAGGAUAUUGUCAAUGAUUCUGGUCUUAUUUAAGAAGGCUCUGCAGUUUGGUAUAUCAUUUGCACCCUACAUACAUAAGGAGCAUAAAAGUCAACCAAGAACAUAGCACUGUGGCAUAUCACAUGACAAAGAAUGGUAUCUCUGGGAUUCUCAGUCCUCAUUCUGUCAGCUCAUAGUCUAAACUUCAAUGUUGACUUUUAGAAGAAGCCUAAGGCAAAAUUUCAAAGGAGCAGUUUUUGGAGACAGGGUCUCACCUUGUUGCCCAGGAUGGAGUGCAGUGGCAUGAUCUCAGCUCCCUGCAACCUCUGCCUCCCUGGCUCAAGCCAUCCUCCCACAUCAAGCUACUGAGUAGCUGAGACUACAGCUCGACUCUGAUUUGAAGAGUAGGAUGGUUAAGGACAUCAGAAAGAAUUUCACAGAGAAAAGGGUCGAAACAGAGCAUGCAAAACCACAAAGAGUCUCAGUCUUUUGCCCUCACCCAGGCAGGAGUGCAGUGGUGCAAUCUUGGCUCUCUGCAGCCUCCACCUCCUGGGCUCAAGCGAUCCUCCAAUCUCCACCUCCCGAGUAGCCGGGACUACAGCCAUGCGAAGAUGUACCUGCUUCUGCUUCAUCUUCUGCCCUGAUUGUAAGUUUCCUGAGGCCUCUCCAGAAGCAGAAAUCUGGAAAGUCUGCAGAACUUUUUCUCAAGAGGGAUUUGCAGAGACAGGAUGCUAUGAAAUUACCUCUCCCAUGCCCUCCACAGUACUAAGACUGAGGUACCUGUCUACAUCAAAAGAUGAGUACUACAAUGCAGAUGACUUAGCCAGUUGGCUGACUAGGGAUGUUGGAUGCCAGGUCUCCUCAGAAAGAUCAAAGUUACAGGUGAAUGCCCAUGAUUUAAAUGGAAAUCUGAGGGAAUGAAGCAAGGACCUGUUGGAGCACCCAUGGGAAGAACCUGGGGCACAAAAGAGGAAAGCAGCAAGAGACUGACAGAGAUUGUCUCCCUAGAAACCUGGACCACGAAAAGGGAUAUGGAUGUUACUUUUUCUCCAAGCAUAGGGAAAGUGCCUCUGAAAUAAAGAUUUUAUGACUUGCUUCAGGAAAGAAGAGCAAGAGGAAGGUGACGGUGAUCUUCCUGAAUCUGCUGUUUUCUCAAAUGCCCAGGUACCAUAUUUUGGUGUAACGUCCCCAUCACAUCAUUGUCACCAGUUUUGGGAUAUUACAAAUAAGAUUUGUAAUGAAUAUUCAUAAGCAGAUUUUUUUUUUUUUUUUGAGACGGACUUUCGCUCUUGUUGCCCAGGCUGAAGUGCAAUGGCACGAUCUCGGCUCACUGCAACCUCUGCCUCCCAGGUUUAAUUGAUUCUCCUGCCUCUGCCUCCUGAGUAGCUGGGAUUAAAGGUAUGUGCACACACACCCAGCUAAUUUUGUAUUUUUAGUGGAGAUGGGGUUUCACCAUUUGGUCAGGCUGGUCUUGAACUCCUAACUGCAGGUGAUCCAUCCGCCUGGGCCUACCAAAGUGCUGGGAUUACAGCCAUGAGCCACUGCGCCUGGCCACAUGAGCAGAAUUUUGUGUGGAAAUAAGUUUUCAUUUCUUUGAGAUCAGUUAUGUAUUUGUUCUGUUUCUUUUUCCAACUUUUUAAAAAAUUUCAGCUGGAAUAACUUUUAACUAAUUGUCUUCAAAUUCAAUGAUUCUUUUCUCUGCUGUGUUCAAUUUGCUGAUAACCCACUGAGGACAUUCUCAUUUCUUACACAUAUGUAUGCGUGUGUGUAUGUUUGUGUGUGUGCGUGCAUGCGUUUUCAUUAAUCUCAUUUUUAUAGUUUCCAUUUCUGUGUAUUAUAAUAUUCUAUCUCUGGUUAUGCAUAUUUGAUACCUUUUCCACUAGAUUCUUUAUAAUGCAAAAGUUAUUUAUAAAUAUUUUUUUCCCUAGUAAUUCCAACAUUUGGGCCCUUUAUGUAUCUUCUUCUUUUGAUAUCUAUUGAAUGUGGAUGAUUUAUAUUCAUGGUGUGUAUGUGUGUAUACAUUUCUUUAUUGGAUUACAGACAUAUUAUGUAUAUAAACAAUAAAAAUUGAGAUAAAUAAUCUUUGUGCCCAGUAAUAGACAUGCCUUUUCUUUUUUAAAUUGUUAAAGGUUAUGUCAAAAAGACUCAGGUGUCAUAUUGAAGAGGCUGCCACUGGGCAAACAUGAUACAAUUUGAGCUCCAAAAGUGGUAAUAUGUAAGACUAAAUUAAAUUCAUCAAAUAUGUUUAAAGUCAUAAUUUCUUAAUAAUAAUAAUUAGACAAUUUUAGGAAAAUAAUAGGGAAGCAAAUCAUUAUCCUUAAAAUAAGAUAUAAAAGGAAAAGAUUUAUCCUGUCCUUCCAAAGGAGUUAUAUUACUAUGAAACCAAAUAGUAGUUGCUAUGGUCUGAAUACUCAUGUCUCCCCAAAAUCUCUGUUUUGAAAUCCUCACUCCCAAGUUGGAUGGUUUCAGGAGGUGGAGCCUUUGGGCAAUGAUUAAGUAAUAGGUUGGGCCCCUCGUGAGUAAGAUUCAUGCCCUUAUAAGAGGUCUGAGAGACAUUCCUCAUCCCUUCCACCAUGUAAGGACACAGAAACAAGGCACUGUCUAUGAGCCAGGAAUUGGGCUCUGACCAGACACUGAAUCUGCCUUGGCCAUGGACAUUCCAGCUUCCAGAAGUAAGAGAAAUAAAUUUCUAGUUUGUGGUUAUUUGUUAUAGUGGCCCAAGUGGACUCAGGCAGUAAUUGAACCGUGUUUUUACCUUUAAUUUGGCUAUUGCCAUUUGCUACUCACUAGGCAGCAGCAAUUGAUUUAGUCAUGGAAGGUCAACCACUGAUUAUACCACAAGACGUGCUUCUUGAUAAAACAAGACAAUACCUAUAGUCUUGCCAAAGGAAUUGAAAAUGAAUCUGAGGAAAACUCUGGGGCCAACUGGCAAUUUGCAAAAAGUAUAAAUGACAGAGGAACAUCCUGAAAUGAGUAUGCAAUCAGCAAAAUCCAGACUGCAGAAAAACCUAAAUGUCAAACAUCACAUGAUUUUCAACAAAUAAGUUACAAGGAAAUAAAAAGGACAGAAGGGAAUCUGUAAAUUAGAAAAGACUGAAACAUAAAAUUAAAAUAAAGUUGGCAAGACUAAACUGUUAUUUGGGAAGCACACCUGGAGGAUAAAACGUUGAUAAUAUGAAAGGAAAUGACUAAUAUAAGAGUCAGGAUGCUGGCUAAUCUUGAGGGAAAGGGUGGUUUUGAGACUGAAUCUGAGCCCAUGAGGAGCCUCUACUGUUUGUGGCUUUGUUAUAUUUCUUGGAUUUUGUAGUUUUUACCUUAUUAAAAUUUAUAAGAAUUUACUAAGCCAUGUGACUGCUGUUUACAGUUUUCUUCCAUCUGUAUUCUAUUUUACAUUUAAAGAGGCUUUUUAAAAAGACAGAGAAGAUCAUUUUACAUAUUAAUCCUUAAUAAUUCAGAAGGGCACAAUGAAACUGCACUGAGAUACUAAUAGAAAAUAAAAACAAACACGUUUUUCUUUUUCUUUUUUUUUGAGACCGAGUCUCACUCUGUCGCCCAGGCUGGAGUGCAGUGGCAUGAUCUCGGUUCACUGCAACCUCCGCCUCCUGGGUUCAAGCAAUUCUCCUGCCUCAGCCUCCUGAGUAGCUGGGAUUACAGGUAGGUGCCACCAUGCCUGGCUAAUUUUUGUAUUUUUAUAGAUAACACGGUUUCACCAUGCUGGCCAGGCUGGUCUCAAACUACUGACCUCAGUUGACCCUCCCGCUUCAGCCUCCCAAAGUGGUGUAAUUACUGGUGUGAGCCAUCGCUCCUGGCCUACAUUUUUCUUUAUGUGAAAAGAAUCAAAGAACAUCAAUGUACUCUUUCUUGUUAAUAGUUUCCAAAAAGUCAUUUAUUUGAUGACUGGGUAGAUCCCAUUAUUUAAUUAUUUUGAAAAGUACAUAUUUUAUUUUAUUCAUGAGUCAUGGUCAUUUUAAGAGUUUGGAUUUCACCUGAACAGAAUUGUGGUUUAUUUUAACAUUCAAUGAAAUAAUAGAUCAAUUCAACAAACUACACAUUUCACACUUGCUUUGAGAUAAAUUGACCUUCACCGAAUUAGCUUCUCUUCACAAGGUAACCUAUAUAAAAAAUGCCAAUUUGCAUGAAGACCUUUUAAAAGACAGCAGGGGUUCAGUACAAGCUACUGAGAGUUUUCUUGUUCUCUAACAGAAAUUCACUCAAGAAUAAUGAAAAGUGACUUUUUCAUGCACCUUCCUUUAUUUUCGUGCCUGAAAUCACAGAUUGUACACAAAGGGAAUGUGCUAAGCUGAACAUAGGCAAGAAACAGCAAUGGCAGCAACAACAAAAGUUAGUGAUGCAUUGAAAUCUAUAUAUCGUUAUGUAGUCCCUCC